rnacentral:rRNA from 1 species
CACGGGUGAGUAACACGUAUCCAACCUGCCGUCUACUCUUGGACAGCCUUCUGAAAGGAAGAUUAAUACAAGAUGGCAUCAUGAGUCCGCAUGUUCACAUGAUUAAAGGUAUUCCGGUAGACGAUGGGGAUGCGUUCCAUUAGAUAGUAGGCGGGGUAACGGCCCACCUAGUCUUCGAUGGAUAGGGGUUCUGAGAGGAAGGUCCCCCACAUUGGAACUGAGACACGGUCCAAACUCCUACGGGAGGCAGCAGUGAGGAAUAUUGGUCAAUGGGCGAGAGCCUGAACCAGCCAAGUAGCGUGAAGGAUGACUGCCCUAUGGGUUGUAAACUUCUUUUAUAAAGGAAUAAAGUCGGGUAUGCAUACCCGUUUGCAUGUACUUUAUGAAUAAGGAUCGGCUAACUCCGUGCCAGCAGCCGCGGUAAUACGGAGGAUCCGAGCGUUAUCCGGAUUUAUUGGGUUUAAAGGGAGCGUA